AUUGAACGCUGGCGGCAGGCCUAACACAUGCAAGUCGAACGGCAGCACAGAAGAGCUUGCUCUUUGGGUGGCGAGUGGCGGACGGGUGAGUAAUGUCUGGGAAACUGCCCGAUGGAGGGGGAUAACUACUGGAAACGGUAGCUAAUACCGCAUAACGUCGCGAGACCAAAGUGGGGGACCUUCGGGCCUCACACCAUCGGAUGGGCCCAGAUGGGAAUAGCUAGUAGGUGGGGUAAUGGCUCACCUAGGCGACGAGCCCUAGCUGGUCUGAGAGGAUGACCAGCCACACUGGAACUGAGACACGGCCCAGACUCCGACGGGAGGCAGCAGUGGGGAAUAUUGCACAAUGGGCGCAAGACUGAUGCAGCCAUGCCGCGUGUAUGAAGAAGGCCUUCGGGUUGUAAAGUACUUUCAGCGGGGAGGAAGGCGGUGAGGUUAAUAACCUCGCCGAUUGACGUUACCCGCAGAAGAAGCACCGGCUAACUCCGUGCCAGCCGCCGCCGUAA
rnacentral:rRNA from 1 species